GUCGAGCGGACAGAUGGGAGCUUGCUCCCUGAUGUCAGCGGCGGAGGGGUGAGUAACACGUGGGUAACCUGCCUGUAAGACUGGGAUAACUCCGGGAAACCGGGGCUAAUACCGGAUGCUUGAUUGAACCGCAUGGUUCAAUUAUAAAAGGUGGCUUUUAGCUACCACUUACAGAUGGACCCGCGGCGCAUUAGCUAGUUGGUGAGGUAACGGCUCACCAAGGCAACGAUGCGUAGCCAACCUGAGAGGGUGAUCGGCCACACUGGGACUGAGACACGGCCCAGACUCCUACGGGAGGCAGCAGUAGGGAAUCUUCCGCAAUGGACGAAAGUCUGACGGAGCAACGCCGCGUGAGUGAUGAAGGUUUUCGGAUCGUAAAACUCUGUUGUUAGGGAAGAACAAGUACCGUUCGAAUAGGGCGGUACCUUGACGGUACCUAACCAGAAAGCCACGGCUAACUACGUGCCAGCAGCCGCGGUAAUACGUAGGUGGCAAGCGUUGUCCGGAAUUAUUGGGCGUAAAGCGCGCGCAGGCGGUUUCUUAAGUCUGAUGUGAAAGCCCCCGGCUCAACCGGGGAGGGUCAUUGGAAACUGGGGAACUUGAGUGCAGAAGAGGAGAGUGGAAUUCCACGUGUAGCGGUGAAAUGCGUAGAGAUGUGGAGGAACACCAGUGGCGAAGGCGACUCUCUGGUCUGUAACUGACGC
rnacentral:rRNA from 1 species